rnacentral:rRNA from 1 species
UACGUAGGGUGCAAGCGUUAAUCGGAAUUACUGGGCGUAAAGCGUGCGCAGUCGGUGAUGUAAGACAGGUGUGAAAUCCCCGGGCUUAACCUGGGAACUGCAUUUGUGACUGCAUCGCUGGAGUGCGGCAGAGGGGGAUGGAAUUCCGCGUGUAGCAGUGAAAUGCGUAGAUAUGCGGAGGAACACCGAUGGCGAAGGCAAUCCCCUGGGCCUGCACUGACGCUCAUGCACGAAAGCGUGGGGAGCAAACAGG